rnacentral:rRNA from 1 species
GACAGAGGCCCCGAGCGUUAGGCGGAAUCACUGGGCUUAAAGCGUGUGUAGGCGGGCCCGUAAGUGUCUUGUGAAAUCCCACGGCUCAACCGUGGAACUGCUGGGCAUACUGCGGGUCUUGGGCCAACUAGGGGCAGCCGGAACAAGCGGUGGAGCGGUGAAAUGCGUAGAUAUCAGGAGGAACACCGGUGGCGAAGGCGGGUCUCUGGGCCGAUACUGACGCUGAGGAGCGAAAGCGUGGGGAGCGAACAGG